GCUGCGCACUUCGGUCUUUUACGUCGGCCUUCGCGAGCGUCUGGGCGGGUGGUAGGUGAGUGGGUAUUGCGGGCUAGUAUCCGAGCAAAAGAUGGUGGCGCAGGCCGAGUUAAGAGCUUUAAUCCUGUGAAGACAUCUUAGUGAAGAGUUUAGAGUGCUGAGAGUUGAAAGCUUGCACGUGGGAAACGUGCGGCCGGACUGCCACAUGUACUGAGGUUGAGUCGUGACGGCCACAGGCUCCGAGUUUUGGCGUGAGGAACCGCUGAUCGGCCACGGGCGCCGAACUUGCUGGCCUCCGGCAUGUGCCUGAGCGGCGGCGGAAAAACCACCUUAAUUGGGGCGGAGGGUUAGUUUUAACAGCAAAGGGCCUUUACUAAAAUGGCGAAGGCCUUCCGUCGGCGUUGUUUUAAAAUGGGAAGCCUCGACCCUGUAUUGAAACUGAGCUGUUCGAAGGCGGCGUUGUGUGCAAUUCGGAUUAAUGAAGGGGAAGGGUUUUGUGUGGAAAAACGCCUUGGAGUGUGACAUUUCUGCGAGAAUGCUUAAAUACCGAUUUCCCGCAGGAACAAUGGCGCUGUCUUCAGUGGCACAGUGGAGCAGCUCUGAAGAUGCAAAGAUACACGAAAAAACUUCCAGAACAUCUGGGAGAAUAUUUAAUGGAAAAUCGCUUGGUUAAAACCUGACACUUUUAACAGGUAUGUGUUGUUUUAGUACUUUAUGAUUGAGCAUAGCAUUUAAUCCACACCUAGACUAAAUCAAAUUUUUUUUGUCAGUGAACAGCGUUCUGAGUGUGGACGAGUAGCCAGUGAAGAUAAUGAAUGUCGAAUGUGACUGACUAGCAGCUUCAUUUUGAAGUAGGUUGUAUGGCUUAAAAGUUCUGUAGUAUUUGUACUAUAAUACUUGCCUUUUAGCAUUACCUUGGUUUGUAGUCAGUGUCACAGAAGUGCAGUUUAAUGUAUUAUGUGUACAUAUACAAGGUCUGAUUGGUCUAAUCAAUGAUGAAACCUAUCCCGAAGCUGAUAACCUGAAGAAAAAUAAGUACGGAUUCGGCUUCUGAGAUUAAGACCAGUAAUUCAGAGGUGGAGUAAAUUUUGUUGCCGUGAUUUUAUAACAGUUGUGUUAUAAAAUCCUGGGUUUUUUUUUUUUCUGCCAACAGUGAGGGUCGCUGUCUGCCCAUUGAUAGAGGCCAGAUUGUCUUGGAAGUUCCAAAGUUGCAACGAUUUCUGUAAGUGGAGUUUUUCUGUUUGCUUAGAGAUCAGUGAAUAUUGUGUCCUUGGUCUUAUCUGUGAUGAUCUUAUCCCGAACCUGAACUUCUGUUGAAAAAAAAAAACUUUUACGGAUCUGGCUUCUGAGAUGGACCGUUAUAAGGACAAUAUUUUUUUUUAAUACUUUUAAUGCUUUUACAUAUGUUGUAAUGUUUGUAGUCUUGUAAGAAUCUCGUGUUUUUCCUUUUCUAGGGCUAGUGCCACGAGGUUUACUUGACUGUUGUGUGAAAAGCUGAUAAGAAAACCAUCCAGAAAAAAGCUCUUCGUUUUACAAACAUGAAAAUAAAACAUGUAAUUUUGGAUUAUGUUCCUUUUUGUUAUUACUUUUAAAUAGGUCCUGAAAUAACAUGGGGAGCAUUAAAUGGAAAAUCCACUAAC
ensembl:lncRNA SNHG5 small nucleolar RNA host gene 5